UCCAAUUGCUAUAUAAUUUCC
rnacentral:piRNA from 1 species